rnacentral:lncRNA from 1 species
GAGAUGGAUGGAGAGAGAAGAGAACGAGAAGAGAAAGAGAGCGGAGGUUUGGAUCGAUCGCUUAGCUUGGGGGCUAGGUAAAAGCGUCUGAUACCAUGUUAGUUGGUAAACUCCGUGAGUAUAUUCAUUAGUAAUGAGAGGAAUAUAUAGGAUACAAUAGAAGGGUCUAGAGAGUAUCUAAGUGUAUCACAAAGAUAUUUACAUAUCUAAUCAUAUAUUCUAACAUUUAUAUCAUGCGAUAUAUAUAUGGAGCCGAUAUAGUCACCCUGUGCAUGAUAGUAUUAAUUAUUUGUAUCUCAGCGUUGUUUGUCUCAACAUAGCUCGGGAAAUUUUGGGCCUCAGUGAUAUUUUGUGGGUGAUAUUCCGUGUUUUUAACGGUUUUAAACUCGUUUUGGAGCAAUUAAAUGGUCGGUUUUAAUUAAUGUUUUGGUCUAUUUGAUGCGUUUUGGUGUUCUUAAGUGUAAUAUGCAGGUUACUAGAUAGCUUGAAAGAAAAGAACGCAUUCGGGAUUUAUUCAGAAGCAAGAUGGACCGAACAAUGGACCGAAUGAAGUAUUGAUCGCACAGAGCACUAGAUCGACCGAUCCGGGAUAUGUGGAUCGACCGAUCCUAGGCUUUCAUACACGAGAUCGACCGAUCCGGGCCAUGUGGAUCGACCGAUCUCAGGCGCUACGGGCUCCACACGCACAAACGAGCUUUUCACUCCUUUUUACCCACUCCCCUCAAUAAUUCACAAAAGAACUCGACCUUUGAGACUCAGAAAAGACCAGGGGCGACCAAGAAGGAGAUUUACAAGUUCUAGAGAGAGAUUUGAGAGUUUUUGUUCAUCUUUUGUGUGAUUUGUGAAGAUUUGUGAAGGAGUUCAUCUCAAAACCAUUUGGAGAAGAUCUUCUGAACCUUUACUCUGUUUUAAUACAAUCUUAUCAUGUUUUCUUCAUCAAAAUCGUUUUGUUCUUGCUUAGUUAUGUGUGAGUAGUCAUCUAGUUGGGUUUAGGGGUUCUCAUAGGGGAUUUCUUGAUGUUUUGAUCCAUAAAACGUGUGUAGACUAAGGGAUUACGUUUUGGUUCUUCAUCUAAUGGAUUUCUUACUGCUUGAACUGAAUUGAUCACUUAGUUCAUGAUUUCAGAUUGUUUGAUGCACCGAAAGUGAUUGUUUGAACUUCCGAAAAUACUUUAGAUGAGCAAAGUGUCCUUAACCCUCGGAAGUUGAUGUUAUUGCGCUUUGUGAACAUAUUGAACCUGUUCUUAAUGCUUGUUUAGAAAUUGAAACUCAGCGGAAGUUAGUGUGGAGAUUUCUAUAACAUAGAGAAUUAGCGCUACGGAAGUAGGUUAAUUCUAAUAUCGUGUUUGAGUUCUAGACGGUUCUUAAUAUAUCCCUGUGUCUUCCAUUAAUUGUAUCUUGAUUAAAAAGAAAUCCCUGAGAAUUCCCAAUGCCCAACGUUUGUUUUAAAAUAGUUUUCAAAUCGUUUAAAUCAUCUUUUUACAUGCUUGUUUAUGCUUUGUGACACUAGAGAAAAUUAAACAAAAACCAUCAAAAAUAUAUCUUGAUUCGCUGUAGCUAUUAACUUGUCUGCAACUCUACGUGUGAUCAUCGGUCCCUGUGGAUUCGAUCCCGCAUUACUACUGCGUACUUUACUGUGCACUUGCAGUUAGAUAAUCGGGUUAAAACUCGACACAUCAAGUUUUUGGCGCCAUUGCCGGGGACCAUUUGGUCACCCUAGAGUUAAUGAUCAGUUUAAGACUAUAGCAUUUUCUUUAUUUUGUCUAAUGUUUCUGUCUUUCUCUUUCUGUUUGUUUUUUCAGGUGAAUGAGCGGAUUUCAUACUAGAAGCAAAGGAUCAUCGAAUUUAAUACCUUUGGAGUUAGAGCUCGGCCGCCUAGAGAGACAAGUGAAAAAGAAAAGACUUGAGUCCGCUGAAGAGGUUGAAAUGGCUGAACACCAAGAAGACCAGUUUCAGGACAACCCGCAAAAUCCAAUUCCUGUAGCUGAACGAGAAGGCAACAAUGCUGGUGAUAAUCAGCAGGCUGGUGUAGCUGCAAGACAACAGGCUGGAGACUAUGGCAUGCCUAGGAUGACGCUUGCACACUAUGAUACACCAGAUGCAUUCUAUGCCGAUCGUUCUGGGAUUCGCCCACCUCCCAUUGAGAGAAGAGACUUUGAGAUCAAGACUGGUCUCAUUAAUUUGGUGGAGAAAAAUCCGUUUCAUGGAAACCCGUCUGAGGACCCGAUGUAUCACUUGGAGCAUUUUGAGCGAGUCUGUGACACCAGCAGACAUAAUGGAGUUCCUCAAGGCGCUUUGAAAUGCAGGUUGUUCCCGUUUUCCUUAGCUGAUAAAGCUAUCAGAUGGUUAAAGUCCAUCCCUCCAGGAUCUCUUACUACAUGGGAAGAGACAAGAGCUGCUUUUCUACAGCAUUUCUUCACCAAGUCAAGGUCCACAUAUCUGAGAAGCAGAAUUGGAAGCUUUCAGCAGCUUGAUUCAGAAAGCUUUCAUGAGGCUUGGGAGCGUUUCAAGGAGUACACACAGGACUGCCCUCACCAUGGUUACACUGAUGUGAGCUUGCUGAACAUUUUCUAUAAUGGAGUUCAUGAAGAGAGUCAAGAUGCCAUGGACACAGCAAGUAAUGGUGAUUUCAUGACCAAGACUGUUGAAGAAGCUUACACCUUGCUGAACAACCUGUCAUCCAGCAAAGCAAACCGCAAAUCAAGGUUUGACACCAGCCAGAAGGGUGUUGGUUAUGAAUCCAAGAAGAUAGAUGAGCUGAAUGCCAAGAUUGAGAUGCUUCUCAAGAAAGAUCAGAAAUCUGUGAAAUUUGUGGAGGAGCAAGGCUAUCGUUCCUCACAAGAAACUGUUGGUGAUGAUUCAAGUGAUAUGCAAGCUGAUGUGAACUACAUUGGUGGUCAAGGAAACUACAACAGAGGCUACAAUCAGAACCUUGGGUGGAAUCAAAAUCAGCAAAAUAAUCUGUCUUACCGGAGCAACAAUGUGGAGAAUCCACAACAUCAGUCCUACCCUCAGGCAGGAAACAGGCAGAACCGGAAUCAGAACCAGAGUGUGUUCAACCAAGGAUAUCAGAACAGAAAUCAAUAUCAGGGGAACAACUCGGGCAACUCAGGAUUUCNNNNNNNNNNAGAACCAGAGUGUGUUCAACCAAGGAUUUCAGAACAGAAAUCAAUAUCAGGGGAACAACUCGGGCAACUCAGGAUUUCAGCAAAGGCAGCAGUACAACAACUAUCAGAAUCAAGGAAAUGCCUCUUCGUCACAGCCUUCUCAGGAUAACGAAAUUAAGAAGAUGCUGCAAAUGGUGCUAGAAGGUCAGAAGAAUAGCACUGCAGAGAUAAACACCAAGGUGGAUAACAUGUAUGGAGAGCUUAAUGGGAAGUUCGAAGCUUUGAACACCCAUUUGAAAGUUUUGGAAAAGCAAGUUGCUCAAACCGCCUCCAGCAGCAGAACAGCACCUGGAUUUCUACCAGGGAAGUCAGAGACGAAUCCCAAGGAGUUUGUGAAUGCUGUAACACUUAGGAGUGGAAAAACGAUUGAGGAAUCGAAAGAGAAAGAGAUCGACCGAUCUCAAGAACAGAUCGACCGAUCCAAUGGGAAUCAGAUCGACCGAUCCGUUCCAUCUGGAUCGACCGAUCCCGUGUCGACGAAGCCAAAUUCGUCUGAACCUGAAGAGGUGUAUGUGGCGCCCCCUGCUUAUGUUCCUAAGGCUCCAUACCCAUCCAGACCAAGGCAGAAGAUCAAAGAACGUGAGUACGAGAAGCUAAAGAACCUUGUUGGGGAGUUACAUGUGAGAUUGCCAUUUGUUGAAGCGGUGAAGAUGGUACCUUCUCUUAAAAGGUACAUGAAGGAGAUUCUUACCGAUAAGAUGAGCCUAGAGCGGGGUGUGUUGAUGCUCAAUGAGGAGUGUAGCGCAGUUCUACAAAAUGUCAUGCCUAAAAAGCGUGAAGAUCCCGGAGCAUUUGUUCUACCAUGCCGCAUUGGAUCACUUACUUUUGAGAAGAGUCUUUGCGAUCUGGGUUCAGGAGUGAGCCUAAUGCCUUUCUCUGUCUCUGAGAGGCUAGGCAUGACGAACUACAAACCUACAAGGAUCUCCUUGGUCCUUGCUGACCGAUCAGUGCGAAGACCAGUCGGUGUACUAGAGAACAUCCCUGUUGGUGUUGGAAAGGGAUACGUGCUUACCGAUUUUGUAGUUCUGGAGCUGGAAGAGGAACCUAAAGAUCCUCUCAUUUUGGGCAGACCGUUUUUAGCUACUGCUGGAGCCAUGAUUGAUGUACAGAAUGGGCAUAUAGACUUACGUCUAGGAGACAUGGCGAUGAGAUACAAUGUGGAGAAGGUGCUGAAAAAUCCGACUAUUGAUGGACAGACCUUCUGGGUUGAUACAUUGACUGAACUGGUGGAGGAAAUGGAUGAAGAGUUGCACACUGAUGAUCCUCUACAAGUCACAUUGACCCAAAAGGAGAGUGAGUUCGGGUUCAUGAACCAAGAAGUGGUUGGAUUUUCUGAGAUUUUGGAUUCAGCCUCACCGAUUGAGAAGCAUGUCGCCUAUGUCAGCCUUGAAGACUCAGGCACCGAUAAAACCGACAAACCGUCAUCCUCCCAACCAGAUUGGAGUGAGGAGAAUGCUCCAAAGGUGGAACUUAAAGCCCUCCCAGCUGGGCUGAGGUAUGCAUUCUUGGGACCGAAUUCCACAUAUCCUGUUAUUAUUUGUGCUAACCUGAAUAAUGUGGAGACCGCUUCGCUUCUUUCAAAAUUGCAAAAGUAUAGAAAAGCAUUGGGGUACUCUUUGGAUGAUAUUACAGGUAUUUCUCCAGAUCUUUGCAUGCACAAGAUUCACUUGGAGGAUGAGUCAAAGACGUCCAUAGAGCACCAGCGAAGACUGAAUCCCAAACUGAUGGAAGUUGUGAAAAAGGAGAUUCUAAAGCUGUUGAGUGCAGGGGUGAUCUACCCAAUUUCAGACAGCACUUGGGUGAGCCCGGUUCAUGUGGUUCCUAAGAAGGGUGGCAUCACUGUCAUCACAAAUGAGAAGGAUGAGCUGAUUCCUACCAGAACAGUCACAGGGCAUAGGAUGUGCAUUGACUACAGGAAGCUAAACUCAGCCACAAGGAAAGACCAUUUCCCACUUCCUUUCAUUGACCAGAUGCUGGAAAGACUAGCCAACCAUCCCUACUACUGUUUUCUCGAUGGCUACUCCGGGUUCUUUCAGAUACCCAUUCAUCCGGACGACCAAGAGAAGACAACAUUCACCUGCCCAUACGGUACUUUUGCGUACAGGAGAAUGCCUUUCGGAUUGUGCAAUGCUCCUGCCACUUUCCAGAGAUGCAUGAUGUCGAUCCUUACUGAUCUUAUUGAGGACAUUAUGGAGGUUUUUAUGGACGAUUUCUCAGUCUACGGUUCUUCAUUUAGCGACUGCCUUGCUAAUCUGUGCAAGGUGCUGGAAAGAUGUGAGGAGAAGAACUUGGUGUUAAAUUGGGAGAAGUGUCAUUUCAUGGUGAAAGAUGGCAUUGUUUUGGGUCACAGGAUAUCAGAGCAGGGUAUCGAGGUUGACAAAGCAAAGAUUGAAGUUAUGACCAGCCUACAGCCUCCCAGGACAGUGAGGGAUAUUCGGAGUUUUCUGGGACAUGCCGGUUUCUACAGGAGGUUUAUCAAAGACUUCUCUAUGAUAGCGAGGCCACUCACCCGUCUGCUGUGCAAAGAAGCGAAGUUUGUUUUUGAUGCUGACUGCCUCGCUGCGUUUCAGAUUCUCAAAAAGUCUCUAGUCAGUGCUCCCAUUGUGCAGCCGCCAGAUUGGGACUUGCCAUUUGAAAUAAUGUGUGACGCAAGUGAUUACGCGAUUGGAGCUGUUUUGGGGCAGAGAAAAGACAAGAAACUCCAUGUGAUCUAUUAUGCCAGCCGAAUGCUUGAUGAUGCUCAAAUCAAGUAUGCUACCACUAAGAAGGAGUUGCUGGCAGUAGUUUAUGCUUUCGAGAAGUUCAGGUCCUAUUUGGUGGGCUCGAAAGUAAUUGUGCACACAGAUCAUGCAGCCUUGAAGUACCUGAUGACGAAAAAAGAUGCUAAACCGAGACUCUUAAGGUGGAUCUUACUCCUACAGGAGUUUGAUAUUGAGAUCAGAGACAAGAGAGGAGCAGAAAAUGGAGUGGCAGAUCAUCUUUCCCGAAUAAGAGUGGAAGCUGAAACACCACUGGAUGAUACAUUACCCGAGGAGAAUGUCUAUGUGAUCACCUUGCUGGAGGAUGAGUAUUUGGAUCAGGCUGAUUGCUGUGCCAUGAGACAAAUUCAGGAUGAUCUCCCAUGGUUUGCAGACUUUGCAAACUACCUAUGUGCUGAAAUUGAACCACCGAACCUGAAGGGAUAUGAGAGGAAGAAGUUCAUGAGAGAUGUGAACCACUAUUACUGGGAUGAUCCCUUCCUCUACAAGAGAUGCUCAGAUGGUUUAUUCAGGAGAUGCGUUCUGGAGAAUGAGAUGCAAGGGAUUCUUUUCCACUGCCACAGCUCAGAAUACGCAGGCCAUUUUGCAACAUUCAAGACGGUUUCUAAGGUCCUGCAGGCUGGUUACUGGUGGCCUACACUUUUCAGAGACGCCCAUGAGUUUGUCUCAAAGUGUGAUGCAUGUCAGCGGAAGGGCAACAUCAGUAAGAGAAAUGAGAUGCCCCAAAAUUUCAUCCUUGAAGUUGAAGUUUUUGAUGUGUGGGGAAUUGAUUUUAUGGGCCCUUUCCCAUCUUCUUAUGGAAAUGAGUACAUCUUGGUUGCGGUUGAUUAUGUCUCCAAGUGGGUGGAAGCAGUAGCCAGCAAGACAAACGACUCUAGUGUUGUCAAGAAAAUGUUCAAGACAGUCAUUUUUCCAAGAUUCGGAAUCCCGAGAGUGGUUAUUAGUGAUGGAGGUUCUCACUUCAUCAACAAGACGUUCAAUAAACUGCUGAAGAAACAUGGAGUAAAGCAUAAGGUAGCUACACCUUAUCAUCCUCAGACAAGUGGGCAGGUUGAAAUAUCGAACCGAGAAAUCAAGGGGAUUUUGGAGAAGGCUGUAGGCAAAACAAGGAAAGACUGGGCUGUGAAGCUUGAUGACGCCUUAUGGGCGUAUAGAACCGCCUACAAGACUCCCUUGGGCACCACUCCUUUUAAUCUGGUCUAUGGAAAGUCUUGUCACCUACCUGUGGAAUUGGAGUACAGUGGUUUUUGGGCAACGAAGUUGAUGAACUUCGACAUUAAAACCGCAGCAGAAAGGAGGAUGGUUCAGUUGAACGAGCUGGACGAGAUUCGGUUGAACGCCUAUGAGAACACCAAAAUCUACAAGGAAAGAACUAAGGCAUGGCAUGACAGAAAGAUAAUCCCGAGAGACUUCGCUGCUGGAGACAAAGUCCUUCUGUUCAACUCUAGACUCAAGCUAUUUCCUGGAAAGCUUAAGUCUCGUUGGUCCGGACCUUUCACCAUCACAGAGGUUAGACCCUAUGGAGCUGUUGUCUUGGAAGACAAUGGGAGGAAAUUCACCGUCAAUGGGCAGAGGCUAAAACCUUACUUCACAGAUGCAAAACCCGAAGAAGGAACCAACAUUCCUUUAACGGAACCCGAUCUCGCCUAAGGACAACAAAAUAGUCAGGCUCGCGACUUUAAACAAGCGCUGACUGGGAGGCAACCCACAUGGUUUGAUUUUCUUUCUCUUUUGUGAUUAUGUUUUCUUGUGUGAAUUGAUUUUUGGUUGUGUUUUUAGAUGAUUUUCAGGCAUGUAUCACGAUCAGGCAUAGAUCGAUCGAUCCUAAGGAAGAAGAGCAGUCGGAUCCGAUAAUUGAUCGGUCGAUCCUGGAUACGUAGAACGGUCGAUCUCAUAAAUAGAUCGGUCGAUCCGGGUUAUGCAGAGCGGUCGAUCUAAGAAAUAGAUCGGUCGAUCCGACUUGUAUGGAUCGAUCGAUCCAGGUAAGUAUUGCCCGGUUUGAUUUCACUUAAUUUAAACCGGAAAACACCCACAAAACACCCAAAUCGCGAAAAAAUCGAUCAAAACACAUAUUAUUUCAUCUUCUUCUCCUCUCAAACUCUCUCAAACCUCUAAAGAACAUGCAAAUCGAUUUUCAUCAUAUCUCAACCGAUUUUUGUAAUCCUUGGUGCUAAACUCAUUAGUUUUUCAAGCUUUAUCCAUUUCUACCAUCAGUUUUCAUCAAGACACAGGUAUGACUCUCUAAUUUUAGAAUCAAAAAUCGCCCUAGGGUUGGAUUUAGGGGAAUCUCCGAAUUCUAAAUGGAAUAGCAUCUAGGAUGGUUUAUUUGUGAUGAUUAUACUCAUGGGUUACCUAGAUUGCCAAUUUGUAGGAUAAAUUGCGAUUUUGCAAUAAAAAAAAAAUAAAAAUAAAAAAAAAAAUAAUAAUUUUCGAUUUUAAUUGAAAAACGAAAAUUGGAAUGGAGUAUGAUGUGUUAUUUUGAGUUUAGAGAAGAGAUGUGUGCUAAAUUUUUACAUGUUUGGGAGGUUGAUCAGAAAUGAUUAUAUAAGAGUGUUUUUCUAUAUGUCUCUUACUGGGGUUUUGAUGAAUUAAUUUUGCAGAUAAUGCCUAAGAGACAGAAGAAGCAGAGUGAGCGUGGGGAUUCCUCGGUACAGACUGCUAGGCUCAGCACAAAGGGCAGGUUCCGAAAGACGGAUAGGUCUCAUCCUGCGAAUCGAGAGAUAACCCAGCAGUGGGAUAUACAUGAUGAUGAUUUCUAUGAGCAGAUGAGGGGAGUGGAAAUGUGUCCGUCGCGCUUCGCUCACAGAGACACUACAGAUGCAUUGGGGAUAACCGAGGAUAUUGAAGCCUUGUUCGCGAAGAUUGGUCUGGGAUACAUCUUCGAUCUUCACAGUGAUUGCUAUGCUGACUUGACCAGGCAGUUCCUCGCAUCAGCCCGCCUCUACCAUCCUGACGAGGACAACCCGGUUGCUGAUAAGGCGAUGUUAUCCUUCAUUGUGAACAGGCAGUUCCACUCCAUGACCAUCUUUCAGCUGUGCGACGUCUUUGGGUUCGGGAAAGGACGUCAAUCUUGUGUUCCCGACUUCCCGGAACACAAUGAUUUCUGGACAUUCAUCGCUUCAGGAAACUUCAUCUCUCGAGAGGCCAAGCAAGCGAGAAUACGUAGCCCUGUUCUGCGAUAUGCAGUGAGAGUGAUCAGCAGUGUUAUCUAUGGGAAGACGGAACCCGCUGCAGUGACAAAAGAUGAGCUAGCUCUUCUGUUCAUCGGGGCUGGACACCUAUGGCCUCAAGGCGCGGACAUUACCUAUGUUAGCGGGAAGGACAUAAACAUAGGAGCUGUGAUCGCGGAGAAGCUUGCGUACUUCAAAGUUUCAGAUACGAAGAGAUGUGGGUUUGGAGCGGUUAUCACACAGAUCUUAAGGCAUUGUGGAGUGUUUCUUCCACCUGUUGACAGAGUGGUGGAUAAAAAGGGGAUGUAUCAGAACUUUUUCGACAUGAGAGCACUCAUUAGCAGCCACUACCUCACCGGCCCUUGGCGAGGAAGCAUCGACAAGUCCGCCCCUCAUAUCUACCAAUUCCAGAACCAACAAGGGAGGGAGCAAUUUAUCAAGCUACCCGAUACAGCCAUCACCGAGCUGACUGAUCCAGAUGCUAUCAUAUUUCUACCACCGCCUGCAUCUCUCUGCACCAGACCCGCGACACUGAAGAAGAAAGGAGUCGCAUCAUCAUCGACACACCAGCAGACACCACAUGAUGAUAUAGAGGAGGAACCUGAAGAUGAGGAAAGUCUUUUCCCCACGGAUUUCACUCCGUAUAUGCUGCCACCAGCACCUCCCGCUACUGCAUCCGCUGCUGAGAUCAACGCUUGGUCGAUCAAGAGCCAUCAAACCAACAACUCCAUACUGCUGAAGAUGUGGAAGGGAAUCUGCAACAUUAAGAAGGGAUGCGCAUCACAGCCAGCUGUUUCUGGAGAUAGCGAUGACGACUCGGGCGCUCACGACACCGCUGCUGGACCUGAGGCAGCGGAGGACUCUGAUGAUGAUGGAGCCUUGGAGAGGCGCUCCAAGAGGCGUACUGACCGCAACGCCUGAUCGGUAAUCUCUCUUGGAAUUAUUUUCACACCGAGGCGGUGUGAAGUAAGUCUGGGGGAGGAUGCUACUUAUGUACCAUAUUGCUUUUAUUUCUUUUAUUUUCUUAGUUUAUCGGAUUUGAUUGUGUUUUAAAAAAAAAAAAAAAAAAAAAAAAACUAUAGCUAGCUAGUGUUAUAUUGUAAUCAUACAACAAUUAGACCGACCACCACACGUGUUUUUCUCAGACCCUGUGAUGAUUAUUAGACUAUUUCCUUGUGUGUUGUGUAUUACAUUUCAUAUUGACCAUUUUUCAGGACUGUUAGCGCAGACAAACCGAGGAACUACUUGACCAAGCAACCUCUCCUUAAAUCUUUUAUCAAGUCUCGGUGAAUUGUAAUCGACUCAAAUAAUUUUGACCAUUAAUGAAUUUAAUUUCUUUUGACCAGGAAUCAACAUCAGGAAACGGUACACCAUAUACACAUUCAGGAUUUUCUUUACCACAUUUUACCACUCUUUAAUAAUCCUGAAUGGCCAGACUCAUCAAUAGUUUGGUACCACACCUACACCGUACACUUUUAUUUCAUCUCCAUGCAUUCUUACACACUGAUUAUAUGUGCAUACAUGUGCAAAAACAAUGGAGAGAUUAGGGUAGACAUGGUUCAUCCGACUGUUUAGGUAGGAUCGGAACAUUUAGGUGGUUAGACACGGACCUGUGUGUCUAGAGGUGUAAAUGGAAAAAUUGGGUGUUGUAAGUGUGUGAUUGCAUCGCAGUGUAUAUAUUCGAUUUCGGUUUAUAUAUGUUUUCUUUCAAAAAAAAAAAUAAUAAUAAUAAAAAAAAAAUAAAAUAAAAUAAAUAAAAAAGAGUUCAUGUUUAUAUCUCAUUCAGUAUAAUAAUUUUUUUUUUAAAAAAAAAAAAAAAAAAAAAAAAAUAAUAAAAAAAAAAAAAAAAGUUCAUGUUUAUAUCUCAUUCAGUAUAUUUGAUUUAGACAUUUUAUUUUUAUUUUAUGUACUAGAGAUGAUGCUUUGUUUAAAUUUGGGGUUAGAAUUUGAGAUUUGUUGGGUUUUGAUCAUUUGAGACUUGAGCAGUUCGAAAACAUGGUUAUCAAUAUACUCGGUCUCUCCAGCGAUUUUGCAUAAUGUUUUGCAUUUUUUUUGUUGUUAUCGCUGAUACCCACAAACACUUGAGCCUCACCCAAUUAAACACUAAAACAGCCUCCCAUACACCGAGCCCGUUAUACCUGAUGGAGAUAUCUUAGGUGGAAAGGUCACGCCCUUUUUAAUGAAUGUAAAGAGUUGAUUACUUGAAACUGAGACUUGCAGGUCUGAAAUAUGGGAAGGUUUGCGAGGUCUUGGUAAGGAUUUGGAAUGAAAGCCUUGACAGUCUCUGAUUCAAGUGGUUAGCGAAAUCACAAGGUAAGGUCAACUGAGGGUUAGUGAGCUCCCAAAUUUUAAUCUUCUUUACUUGAGGACAAGCAAAGAUUCAAGUCUGGGGGAGUUGAUAUUCCGUGUUUUUAACGGUUUUAAACUCGUUUUGGAGCAAUUAAAUGGUCGGUUUUAAUUAAUGUUUUGGUCUAUUUGAUGCGUUUUGGUGUUCUUAAGUGUAAUAUGCAGGUUACUAGAUAGCUUGAAAGAAAAGAACGCAUUCGGGAUUUAUUCAGAAGCAAGAUAGACCGAACAAUGGACCGAAUGAAGUAUUGAUCGCACAGGACUCGAGAUCGACCGAUCCAGUCAAUGUGGAUCGACCGAUCUUAUGCUUUCAUGCACUAGAUCGACCGAUCCGAUAUAUGUGGAUCGACCGAUCUAAGGCUCUACGGGCUCCACACGCACAAACGAGCUUUUCACUCCUUUUUACCCACUCCCCUCAAUAAUUCGGAGAAGAACUCGACCUUUGAGACUCAGAAAAGACCAGGGGCGACCAAGGAGGAGAUUUACAAGUUCUAGAGAGA